rnacentral:lncRNA from 1 species
GUGCGUUUUUAUUUCUUCUCUUCUUGUUUUGUAAUCUUCUUCUGUUGAGCAAAUUCUUUUGACACGAAUGCCGAGUCCAUAUGGUAUAGCAUUUUUUACAGAGUUUGGAUGGCUUGACGACACAUGUAAGUAUUGGUGUUUAUCUGUUGAUUUUGUAUAAAGAUCUGUUUUAAGUUGUCCGUUUUCUAUGUGUACAAACACAUCAAGAAAUUCAAUUUUUUCAGUUGAGUAACGCAUUUCUGUUUUAAUUCGCGGAUGCAAACUGUUUGACAUUUCGUGAAAUUUUUUUAAUUCAUCUAAACCAUGUUCCCAUAUCCCCCAGAUGUCAUCAACAUAUCUCCAAUAUGAAAAUGGUUGUAAAUUGCUGUUUUGAAAUAAAUUUUCUUCCCAUUGUCCGAGGUAGGUGCAAGCAUAAUUCAUGCCUAGAUGGGAACCAAUAGCUGUUCCUUCAGUUUGUAAAAAGUGCUUUCCGUUGAAGCUAAAAUUAUUAUUUUCAAUGACUAA